ensembl:processed_transcript Gm13429 predicted gene 13429
AACGGAGGAAAGGUUCCAGCAGCCUCUCUGUGUCUCCGCUCGCCUUUCCCGUAACCAUCCAUGUCCCUGUACAGUUCAUUGUAAAGGGGCAUCGGAACCUGAGAAACCCAGCGCCUCAUCUCCAGACUCAGAUCCCGGUCCGUUCUAUCAGUGUCCACUGACAGCUGUCCUAUGCCCCCGGACCUUCCGCCUCACCACAACGACCGAUCUGAUUGUGUGUAGCCUUUAGUUUUCCUUCCGCCCAGACCUUGAGUGCUGAGAUGGCAGGAACCUUCUUAAUCCCCCACAGCCUGCUCAGUGCCACGAACGAAGCCUCACACAUUGUCAACAGUAUUUGUCUGCUGCAUAGGGUGGGUUUAUCAAUUCAUCAAACGCGUCUGCGUCUUAGUCCAUGCUUGUUGAGUAUCCUCUGAGGCUGCCUCCACAGGUUCCAGAGGUGAACCAGUCACACACGGCUGCUGAUCUCUCAGCCUGAAAGAAGAGACUGACAUCCCCCAGCUCUUUUGUGAUGGAGGAAGACUCUUAAAGAGUUGAGCCUCUCGAGACUCCUACUUUACAGAUGUUUGGCAACUCUGUUUCCCUUGGACUGGCCAGCUCUUUCAAUGCAGA